CCACAAGGAGCGUUUAAUGAAACAAAAAAGAAAACCUAAAGAAAGAAGGAAGCGCGCAAAAACUAGAAAGAAGACACUGACAAUUUGGAAAGUAACACAUGAACUUGGUUUUGUGCUACUUGAAAAAUAUCACCUAGAGUAUAGACACAAGCAACAAUACUCCAGCAAUGUAAAGAAAGCAAAAGCAAGUUUAAACCAAAAAAGAAACUUAGAAAUCAAAUAAAAACGAACCUGGACAAAAAAUAUUGCAUUUAAUUCACUUCAACGCAAAUUAAAUAUGGAUCUACUUAAAUCUACCCAAAAAGGAAAGUAUCAAAACCCCACAAAUAGAAUCAGAAAAGAAAAAUGUAAAUUUCUCUCAGAUCAGAAACAUGGAC
rnacentral:lncRNA from 1 species